UACGGAGGGGGCUAGCGUUGUUCGGAAUUACUGGGCGUAAAGCGUACGUAGGCGGCCCUGUAAGUUAGAGGUGAAAGCCCGGAGCUCAACUUCGGAAUUGCCUUUAAGACUGCAGAGCUUGAAUCGUGGAGAGGUUAGUGGAAUUCCGAGUGUAGAGGUGAAAUUCGUAGAUAUUCGGAAGAACACCAGUGGCGAAGGCGACUAACUGGACACGUAUUGACGCUGAGGUACGAAAGCGUGGGGAGCAAACAGG
rnacentral:rRNA from 1 species